rnacentral:rRNA from 1 species
CCUACGGGUGGCAGCAGUGGGGAAUAUUGGGCAAUGGACGAAACUCUGACCCAGCAACGCCGCGUGAAGGAUGAAGGUUUUCGGAUUGUAAACUUCUGUCGCGAGGGAUGAAGAAUGACGGUACCUCGUAAGAACGCCUCGGCAAACUACGAGCCAGCAGCCGCGGGAAUACGCAGGGGGCGAGCGUUGUCCGGAAUUACUGGGCGUAAGGGGGGCGUAGGCGGCAUAUUAAGUUAUGUGUGAAAGCCCUCGGCUCAACCGCGGAAUUGCACAUAAAACUGGGAAGCUUGAGUGCAGGAGAGGUAAGUGGAAUUCCCGGUGUAGCGGUGGAAUGCGUAGAGAUCGGGAGGAACACCAGAGGCGAAGGCGACUUACUGGACUGUAACUGACGCUGAUGCGCGAAAGCGUGGGGAUCAAACAGGAUUAGAUACCCUAGUAGUC